UCCGUCCUGCUCUGUUCGCGGACCGUGGCUAUUAUAACCCUACAACCUUAUUAAUAGGGGCCGUUGCUCGGGCGGCGGGUAUGCAGGCCUCCCGCUUUUCGCGGACGUUGGAAGCACAAAACCGUUCGGCUGGCACCCACCUGCUUAGUCGCAGGUUAUCAAUCGCCCAUUACGGCAGAGUGGGACUGCA
rnacentral:other from 1 species